rnacentral:ncRNA from 2 species
CUAACUUUGCAAUAGUUUUGUUCUGCCAGUUUCCAAUUGCGAAGCUAGCGGAUGAAAAGGGAAUCGGGUGAAAGUCCCGAACAGUCCCGCUGCUGUGAGUUUCACAUCUUGAGAGCAUCAACACGCUCUAUGCCACUGUUACUUCUGCCAAAGCGGAAAAGACGGGAAGGCGAUGUUCUCCGAAACGAGUCAGAAGACCUGCAAAACAAAAAUCAUGCUU